rnacentral:rRNA from 1 species
GAUGAACGCUGGCGGCGUGCCUAAUACAUGCCAGUCGAGCGAACAGACGAGGAGCUUGCUCCUCUGACGUUAGCGGCGGACGGGUGAGUAACACGUGGAUAACCUACCUAUAAGACUGGGAUAACUUCGGGAAACCGGAGCUAAUACCGGAUAACAUGUUGAACCGCAUGGUUCAACAGUGAAAGACGGUCUUGCUGUCACUUAUAGAUGGAUCCGCGCCGCAUUAGCUAGUUGGUAAGGUAACGGCCUACCAAGGCAACGAUGCGUAGCCGACCUGAGAGGGUGAUCGGCCACACUGGAACUGAGACACGGUCCAGACUCCUACGGGAGGCAGCAGUAGGGAAUCUUCCGCAAUGGGCGAAAGCCUGACGGAGCAACGCCGCGUGAGUGAAGAAGGUCUUCGGAUCGUAAAACUCUGUUAUUAGGGAAGAACAAAUGUGUAAGUAACUAUGCACGUCUUGACGGUACCUAAUCAGAAAGCCACGGCUAACUACGUG